UACGAAGGGUGCAAGCGUUACUCGGAAUUACUGGGCGUAAAGCGUGCGUAGGUGGUUUGUUAAGUCUGAUGUGAAAGCCCUGGGCUCAACCUGGGAAUUGCAUUGGAUACUGGCAGGCUAGAGUGCGGUAGAGGAUGGCGGAAUUCCCGGUAUAGCAGUGAAAUGCGUAGAGAUCGGGAGGAACAUCUGUGGCGAAGGCGGCCAUCUGGACCAGCACUGACACUGAGGCACGAAGGCCAGGGGAGCAAACGGG
rnacentral:rRNA from 1 species